rnacentral:rRNA from 1 species
UACGUAGGGUGCGAGCGUUGUCCGGAAUUAUUGGGCGUAAAGAGCUCGUAGGCGGUUUGUCGCGUCGACUGUGAAAACCUACAGCUUAACUGUGGGCUUGCAGUCGAUACGGGCAGACUUGAGUUCGGUAGGGGAGACUGGAAUUCCUGGUGUAGCGGUGAAAUGCGCAGAUAUCAGGAGGAGCACCGGUGGCGAAGGCGGGUCUCUGGGCCGAUACUGACGCUGAGGAGCGAAAGCGUGGGGAGCGAACAGG